UACAGAGGGGGCAAGCGUUAUUCGGAAUUAUUGGGCGUAAAGGGCGCGUAGGCGGCUUUGCAAGUGACGGGUGAAAUCCCUCGGCUUAACCGAGGAACUGCCUGUCAGACUGCAUGGCUUGAGACCGGGAGAGGUGAGUGGAAUUCCCAGUGUAGCGGUGAAAUGCGUAGAUAUUGGGAGGAACACCAAUUGCGAAGGCAGCUCGCUGGGACGUUACUGACGCUGAGACGGCGAAAAGCGUGGGGAGCAAACAGG
rnacentral:rRNA from 1 species